UGACCUCAGAUCAGGCAAGGCAACCCGCUGAAUUUAAGCAUAUUAAUAAGCGGAGGAAAAGAAACUAACAAGGAUUCCCCUAGUAAUGGCGAAUGAAGCGGGAACAGCUCAAAUUGAAAAUCUCCGUUGCUUGCAACGGCGAAUUGUAGUUUCGAGAAGCACUUUCUCGGCGGAUCCGAGGUCGUCCAAGUUGCUUGGAACAGCACGUCGUAGAGGGUGACAACNCCGUCUGCGGCGAUCUCGGCCGUUCACGAUGUGCUUUCGACGAGUCGGGUUGUUUGGGAAUGCAGCCCAAAAUGGGUGGUAAACUCCAUCUAAAGCUAAAUAUUGGCACGAGACCGAUAGCGAACAAGUACCGUGAGGGAAAGAUGAAAAGCACUUUGAAAAGAGAGUUAAAAAGUACGUGAAACCGUUAAAAGGGAAACGAAUGGGGUUAGCAAUGCGUCGUGCGAGAUUCAGCCGGUGGGUGGGCCAGGCGGGCGGUUGGCGGAUCUGAAUGGACCGCUGCCGUUCGGGUUGGUUUCCCGACCGUCGCACUUCUCGCAGGCGCGCGCCAACGUCGGUUAGGGCUGGGUCUCAAAGGCGGUGGAAAGGUAGGUUUGGACUCUCGGGCCCGAACUGUUACAGUCCUCCGUUCGUCAUGGCCCGGACCUGACCGAGGAGCUUGCGGUGCAUGCCCUUUCGGCUAGGGUCCCGUCUUCCCGGUCGGUCGUCGAAUGCGGUGGACUGCGUGCAGUGCGCCGCGACUGCUGCCGGUCGCGAGGGCGGUGAUUUCGUACUAUGCACCCACGACGUUGGCGGUCAUAUGGCCUCAUCCGACCCGUCUUGAAACACGGACCAAGGAGUCUAACAUGUGUGCGAGUCUUUGAGUGAUCGAAACUCCGAGGCGUAAUGAAAGUGAAGGCGACUUCGGUCGCUGAGGUGAGAGCCUUUUUCCACAAAAAAAAGGCGCAUCAUCGACCGACCUAUUC
rnacentral:ncRNA from 1 species